GGGUCCCAAUACACUGAGCAUCCAUCUGAUAUCCUUCUACAUCUCGGUUUCUUCCUCAUGCUCCAUCUCUGUAUUGCUGGUUCCAUCGCUCUGUAUUAAUUCUGCAAUUAACGUGGCUUUUGUCUUGUUACUUGCCACUACACCUCGAGCUUCCAGUAAAUCCUUUAGCGUGGUUCUCUUAAGUAGCUGAUAUUGCUGAGCCAUUCCCUUGCUUGGUUCAGGACGUCCAUUUGGGAUUUGAAUCCCUCCGCUUGCCACCAGUUGUAAGGAAACCAAGUAUAUUCAAACCUCAUAUGGUAGUUUCCUCCCGAACCGCCAGAACCUUAG